GACAGAGGGUGCAAACGUUGCUCGGAAUCACUGGGCGUAAAGGGCGUGUAGGCGGGACGGUAAGUCGGGCGUGAAAUCCCUAGGCUCAACCUAGGAACUGCACUCGAAACUACCAUUCUUGAGUGUCGGAGAGGAAAGCGGAAUUCCUGGUGUAGAGGUGAAAUUCGUAGAUAUCAGGAGGAACACCAGUGGCGAAGGCGGCUUUCUGGACGAUAACUGACGCUGAGGCGCGAAAGCUAGGGGAGCAAACAGG
rnacentral:rRNA from 1 species